AAGGGUGUAGCCCCCAUCCGCUAGUGCCUGGGUGGGAGCGUGGGCAGGGGUGCAGGCAGCGGCCGGGCUGGGACGCACGCUGGGAGGCCGAGGACGGAGCAGGUGCCCGAGUCCGACCUCCUUCGUUGACAGCAUCGCAGGCGCUGCUGGCCGAGCUCUCGGCGCUGGAGACAGAGUUCGAGAUCGAGAAAACGUGUCGCCAGCAAGCCGAAGCGUACGCAGCCCAGGUGAAACGGGAGAACACGAAACUCAAGCGGCUCAGCCUGGCCCUGCUGCCCACCGUGGGCCAGCUCCCCGAGGAGGUGGCCAACGCGGCCAACGAGGAGGAGCCCGGCCCCGACCCUGCCCAGCACUGCGGGCAGCAGCUCCGAGGUGAGAUGAGCUGGGGCUCCCAGCCCGGCCUCAGCCUUGCUGGCACCAGGGGACGUCCCAGGAACGCCGGGCAAGGCGCUUGCAGGGCUGCGCUGCCCGGGUGGCAUCCCCGGCUGCCGGCGCUGAGCUCUGAUUUUUGCCUCUCUACCUCUAGUUGAUCCCAUUUUGGGCAGGUUUCCAAAGCCUGAGUUCGGCCCUAGAUGAUCAGGAGAGAGUCCCUACUCUGCACACUCUCAGCACAUGCAUGACGGUUCAGGCGGUUCCACUUCAUGACGUGCUCAAAUUAGCUAAUUAAUAGUAAUUAUGACAGACCCUAUACUGAUUCUAAAUUAACAACCGCUGAGCAGAGAGUGAGCUCAGCAAAUCCAAGAGAAAACCAGACCCCUGCCGAAGCCGGUCCGUGCAAGGGCAGGAGCCCACCCCCCCCCGGGCAGCCAAGCCACCGCGCUGGCCCUCAGCUUGCCGCAACACCCUGGCCCCUCUGCCUUGGCCCGGUGCCACCUAAAGUUGCUCAGUUCGGUCCUACAGUUUCACUUUGUGUCCUGGCCGAAAGGACAAAAAGAAAAUG
rnacentral:lncRNA from 1 species